rnacentral:tRNA from 7 species
UCAGGAUAGCUCAGUCCGGCAGAGCAGAGGACUGAAAAUUCUCGUGUCGCCAGUUCAAAUCUGGUUCCUG